ACUGUGCAUGAUUAACUAAAACAGCCUGUUGACGGCUUAAAAUAAACCUGCCUUUUCCAUUUAGCAUUUUAUCAAAUGAAUAUAAUUUCAUUUGCUGAUGAAUUUAGUUCAGCUUCAAGAGAAUUUUUCUUUUCUUCAUGGGGAGGCUGAAGAAUCAGAACUGUCAUACCAAAGAAUGAAAAGCAAGCCUAGGGAGAACAAGACAGUCUGAUGUUUACAUGGGUAAAGUAAAAGUAUCUUUGUCAAUAUUACCAGCACUCUCCCUCACCCUCUGUUUUAUAGGGUGGAAUGUUGAUUUUAGUUCUGCUUUUGCAUUAUGGUGUUUACGUUGCUUGAUUACAAGCAUUAAUUUAAAUGACUGCUGUGGGGAUUACUAUUGUUAUUAUACGUGAGCUCUUGUCUUACUUUUGUUUAUUUCUAGCACUUGAGUAUGCCCUAAAAUUUAAUUAGAUUCAUCUCUUAGGAUAGUAGACCCUUUGCUGGGGUUCAAAAGUAAAGGGACAAAUGGUAUAAUCCGUCAAGGGAGGAGGGAGGUAUAUUAUCAGCAAUGAGGAGAGUCAAUGUUUUCUUAGAGGAUGUGACUCUGCAACUUGGAAUGAAUUGAUAUUCUGUUUGAUGAAUAUAAAAUAUAUCUCUGUGUCUAUAUGUACAUGUAGACACUUUGCAUCCAAAGACUAUAGGGAUAUUUGCUAAAUAAGGAAGAUUUAAAGUUUCUUUAAAGACAGCUUAAAAACAAAGUCAUCUAUGCAGUUAAACCAGCAUGUAUCUACAGAAUCAAUGAGAGGAAGAGGGUUGGACUGAAUAUUAUAUAGUCCAUGCGAUUUCCCCACUAUCUUUUACUUGUGUCCUCAUUUGGAAAUAGUGAAAAACAGCACUAAUGGCAAAUUGCAACACUAUUUAAAUUUCCACCUUAUUUCCCCCAGAGCAAAUUCUUAAAUGUUAAUCAUCAUCAGGCAGUCAAGUAGACACUUUAGCUGCACAUAGUUUUAUAUUUUUCCUGGGGAAUAAAGGCACAACAAAUAUAAAACAUAUUCCUGAUAAAUCCACUCUUUCUGAUUGCUGCUCUGUUUACAUUUUGAGAAAUAAUCUUGAUGUAUUGCCUUUAACAUUAGACAUAAUCAAUAUAAGAUUGAUAGACAUUUUACAUUAAACAUUGUAAAAAUAGCUGCUCCCACAUUUAAUAUUCUUCUGCUACAAGUCUGAAUUCUUCAUUACUUAAGCGAGGUUAUGAUGCUAUUCAGCUACUUUGGAAAAUGUCACUAUCUUCUUCAGGUUUGUUUUUGAAAGUGUAUUAACAUUUUCAAAACCUGAUUUCUAAGUUGAGAAAAAUCCAACUGAAAGAUGUCACAAUGACUAUUUGAGACUAAUCCUACUGACGGCAUUACUUCCUUUAUGGAGGUAAGACUUGAUAACUAGCAUUCUCUCCCACUAGCCUACAGAGAAGAUUCCCUAAAACAAUACUGGGAGCUUCUUGCAGGUGCUUAGAGUUUUAUUAAUUACACUCAGCUGGGCCGAGGGAAACUAGAGAUGAAAUCUAGGAAAUAUUCCAGAGUCUGGCAUGUGAGCAAUCAUAAGCAGUUCAUGGAAACCUCAGAGUGUCUCAGCUUUCCUGCUUUAUAUUCAUUAAUUUCCUUUUCUCAUAUUAAUAAAGGUCAAUGCUGUUAGUGCCUAUCUUAUCCAUAGAAAGGAGCUUGAUCUUGAACUAAUUCCAUUAUAUUCUAUUUUUUAAUAGAAAACUAAAAUCUUACAUUUGGGGAUGGCUUUGUUGUCAGUAUG
rnacentral:lncRNA from 1 species